rnacentral:misc_RNA from 1 species
UUUCCGUAGGUGAACCUGCGGAAGGAUCAUUAAAAAAUGUGGUACCGAUUGUUGGUACUAAAUUAAUCAUCCUACCCUUUGUGAAUUUGUUUGUAACGAAUUUUUUUAAAUGGGUCUUUCCCUAAGUUGGAUUGUAGUAAAAUACAAAAAAGACUUAGGGGAAUGACUUUUUAAAAGACUUUUUUUUAAAUUAAAACUUUUUGUAUUCAUUUGUCUAAAAUUUAUUUUUAUAAUAUAAAAACAACUUUCACAAUGGAUCUCUUGGUUCUGGCAUCGAUGAAGAACGCAGCGAAAUGCGAUAAGUAAUGUGAAUUGCAGAAUACGUGAAUCAUCGAAUCUUCGAACGCAUAUUGCACUUUUUUAGUUUACUAAAAAAGUAUGUCUGUAUGAGUAUCAGUAAAAUAUUCUCACAAACAUAUAUUGUUUGUGGUAUGAGUGUUUUACAACGAUAAACAAGUUGUUUCACUUUAAAUUCUUUUUUAAUGAUUUUUACCAAUUCAUAAAUUAAAAUUGGAUAAAAUUUUCCUUUAACGAGGAAUAACCUAAACAAUUUUAAAUUUUAUGGAUUGUAAAAUCAUAAAGGAAUCUAUAUACAUAAAUGACUUGAUCUCAAAUCAGAUAAGAGUACCCGCUGAACUUAAGCAUAUCAAUAAGCGGAGGAAAGAAACUAACAAGAUUCCCUUAGUAACGGCGAGUGAAGCGGGAAGAGCUCAAAUUUGAAAUCUUCAAGGUUUGACCUUGACGAAUUGUAGUUUAUAGAAGUGUUUUCUGUUGGAGUUUUGGUAAAAGUUCUUUGGAAUAGGACAUCAUAGAGGGUGAGAAUCCCGUAUUUGACCAUGACUUUCCAGCUGUGUGAUACACUUUCAAAGAGUCGGAUUGUUUGGGAAUGCAGUCCAAAAUGGGUGGUAAAUUUCAUCUAAAGCUAAAUAUUGGCGAGUGACCGAUAGCGAACAAGUACCGUGAGGGAAAGAUGAAAAGAACUUUGAAAAGAGAGUUAAACAGUACGUGAAAUUGUCAAAAGGGAAGCGUUUGACACCAGUGUUGUUUUCUCGAAAAUCAAUUUAAUGAGUUCUUGUUUUUAAGUUAUUGUGACUUUAUCAGCGCAUUUCUUAUUUUACUUGACUCAUUGAAUGCACUUUUCGUUUAACAAGUCAACAUCAAUUUCUUUGGUGGUAAAAAGUUUAAAGGAAGGUGGCUUGGACUUCGGUUCAAGUGUUUAUAGCCUUUUUUCUAUGCCAUCGGAGAGAUUGAGGUCUGCAGCGUAGAUCCUUCGGGGUUAGAUACCUUUGUGCUAAGUUAUAGUUUUUUAUAGACAACUUGUUGACUAUAAUUAACCCUGUAAUUUACUCGCUUAGGCUAUUUUACCUACGCUUAGGAUGUUG